GUGAAUCAUCAAAUUUUUGAACGCAAAUUGCACUCUCCUCGGAGAGUAUGAGCGUUUGAGGGUCAGCCUAUAAAAAUCGACAUCGUUGUUGUUUCGCGGUAACGUUUGUCGGAAAUUGGCUUAUCUUACACCAUUUGGUUUAAGCGACUUAAAAUCUUCCUUUUGGUUCCAUGAAUGUUUCUAAGAUUUAUCUCUUUAAACGUUUAAGGAAUCGAUUUUUAUUAGACGUGACCAUUAUAUCGGAUUGCGUCCAUAAUCCUUUAUCCACUGAUCUCCGA
rnacentral:misc_RNA from 1 species